UACGUAGGUGGCAAGCGUUGUCCGGAUUUACUGGGCGUAAAGAGCGCGCAGGCGGCUGGUCAAGUCCGAUGUGAAAUCUCCCGGCUCAACUGGGGAGGGUCACGCGAUACUGAUCGACUCGAAGGCAGGAGAGGGUAGUGGAAUUCCCGGUGUAGUGGUGAAAUGCGUAGAUAUCGGGAGGAACACCAGUGGCGAAGGCGACUACCUGGCCUGUUCUUGACGCUGAGGCGCGAAAGCUAGGGGAGCAAACGGGG
rnacentral:rRNA from 1 species